GGGGCUAUGGCGCAGCUGGUAGCGCGCCUCACUGGCAGUGAGGAGGUCAGGGGUUCGAGUCCCCUUAGCUCCA
rnacentral:tRNA from 2 species